GGGCGAUUAACUCAGUGGUAGAGUGUCUCGUUUACACCGAGAGAGUCGGCGGUUCAAAUCCGUCAUCGCCUAC
rnacentral:tRNA from 1 species